UUUUUUCUUUUUCUUUUUCGGGCUGCACCUGCAACAUAUGCAAGUUCCCUGGCUAGGGGUCAAAGGAGAGCCACAGCUGCUGGCUUAUGCCACAGCAAUGUGGGAUCCAAGCUCCAUCUACAACCUACUGAUCUACUAACCAGUGUCAGUACAGACUGAUACAACGUGAAUUUUAAGAGCUAACUUGUCAAAUCCCUUGAAAAUCUGCAGAUUUUGACUUAAACUGCACUGAAUUUACACACUUGGAGCAAAAAGCACUUUAAUCAGCCUUUCCAUUGAUGUAUAUGAUACUGAUCACCAUUUAUGCAGGAGUUCCCUCUCUGGUGCAUUGGAUUAAAAAUCAGACUGCAGCAGCUUGGGUCGCUGUAGAAGCUUGGGUUUGAUCUCUGGCCUGGUGCAGUAGGUUAAAGGAUCCAGCACUGCUGCACCUGUGGCUCAGAUUCAGUCCCUGGCCCCCAGGGACUUCCAUAUGCCACAGAUGCAGCUAUUAAAAAAAAAAAAAAACCCCAAAAAACCCCACAAAGCUCUGUACCAUUUAUUCAGAUUUCCUUUAUUUGUUAAUCAACUUGCAUAACUAAGAAUGUCUACUUGUUGUUGCUUAUAGGGGUGUAAUUCAAGAUAAUUUAUAUCUGAUAUUAUGCUGGGAUUUUAAACAAUUACUUGUUCACAUAAUACUCUUGCAACUUGAAAACUUUAAUAAUUCAGAAUCUGAGUUCCCACUGUGGCUCAGUGGUAACGAACCUAACUAGUAUCCAUGAGGACUUGGGUUGGAUCCCUAGUCCCAUUCAGUAGGUUAAGGAUCUGUCGUUGCCUCGAGCUGUGGUGUAGGCUGGCCAGCUGCAGCUCUGAUUCAAUCCCUAGCCUGGGAACUUCCACAUGUUCAUAGAUUCUCCUGGAUUUUCCAUAUAUGAAAAUAUAUUUUCCAAAUAUAAAAUGACAAUUUUUUUUCUUUUAUGAAUCUUAUAGUCACUAGUAUAUUAAAUCUAUUCAGGCUGCUAUAACAAAAAUACCACAGCGGCCAAAUUUCUAACAGUUCUUGAGGCCAGAAACCUAAGAUCAAGAUCUCCUAAAACCCAGUAAAUUCUUCUGAUCUAUAAAUGCCAUAAUUCCUUAAAUUCUGGGGACUUCUGUCCAAAGAUGGAUUACUUUAUUUGUUGAAUUUCCUAUUUCAGAUACGAUUACUUGUUUUUUAAAAAUCGUGUUUGUCUGUUCUUUUUGGUUUCAAUUGCAUCCCUUCUGAUUAUAGUAAGUCCUUCCUUUCUAGAGACAGUUAUAUUUUGUCAUGUCUAAUUAUUUCUCUCAUCAUUAAUUUUCACUAUGAAUUUUGCCCUCAAUUUGUUUCCUAAAUCUCUAUUCAUCUCAUUGUGCCAUGCUAUUGUUUUGAGCUUCUUUUAUUUAAGUCACAGUGUGUUGUUCUAUAACUUGAGCAUAUGUGAGUAAUUUUCUCCUGUUCCUUGGAUGAGGUUUGCUUUCUUAUUUUGGGUUCUUGGUAUCUUAUUUCCAAGCUACGUUCCUUUUUUGCUUGCUGGAACCUGUCUGCCAUGCUGUUCUGUGUUGCUGAGCUUUCAAUGGAAAGCUUCUACCUACUCCAAGAGGGAGAGUGAACUCUAACGUGCUUACCAAGUGCAUUCAUUUCUGAGGUUUGCUGGGGCUUCUCCUGUUCUCAGAGGGGAAUACUCUCAGGUUCUGACCAUGUUCCCUAAUCAAUGAGCAGUCCUGAUGCAGUCAGCUACCUCAAUGGCAGGUCCGACUGCUCACUCUCCAUUUCUAUGAUUUCUCUAACAAAAGAAGGAAGGAGACAAAGAUCCCACUUAGCUUUCUUUCUCCAGAGAUCUGAGGAAAUGAUGAAAACCCUCUGGGUUUUGUUGACUCAACCGCAUGGCUUGGAGUGGUGGAGUACAGUGAGGAGGGGUGCCACUUUAUGAUCACCCUUUGUGUCAGCAAUGCUAAAGGCAGGGAUGCACAUUUUCUUCAGAAAACACUUGUCUACAGAUAAUGAAAUGUAAACUGAUCUGAGGAGUUCCCGUAGUGGCUCAGCAGUUAAAGAACCCAACUAGCAUCCAUGAAGAUGCAGGUUCGAUCCCUGGCCUUGAGCUCAGUGGGUUAAGGAUCUGGCGUUGUUGUGAGCUGUGGUGUAGGUCGCAGACACAGCUCAGAUCCAGCAUUGCUGUGGCUCUGGAGUAAGCCGGCGGCUAUAGCUGAUUAAACCCCUAGCCUGGGAACGUUUGUAUGCCGUGGCUGUGGCCCUAAAAGACAAAAAGACCAAAAAAAAGAUCACUAUAAACUGAUCUGAGGCAAAAACUGCCUAACCUCAAUAUCCACUCACCUCUUUUUCUCAAUAAUUUAAAUAUAUUCAAGAUAGCCAUGUUCCCAGAUAAAAGACUACAUUUCCCAGCUAUCUUAGUACAGGUUGCUAGAACAAAUACCAGACUAAGGGAGUUCCCGUCGUGGGGCAGUGGUUAAUGAAUCCGACUAGGAACCAUGAGGUUGAAGGUUUGGUCCCUGGCCUUGCUCAGUGGGUUAAGGAUCCAGGGUUGCCGUGAGCUGCGGUGUAGGUUACAGACGUGGCUUGGAUCCCGCAUUGCUGUGGCUGUGGCGUAGGCCGGCGCCUACAGCUCCAAUUCAACCCCUAGCUCGGGAAUCUCCAUAUACCGCAGGAACGGAACGGCCCUGGAAAAGGCAAAAAGACAAAACAAACAAACAAAAAAACAAAAACCAACCAGACUAAUAAGGUGGCUUAAACAGCAAAUAUUUAUUCUUCACAGGUCUGAAGAUAAGGAAGUACAAGAUGCAGGAGCCGGGUGAUCCAGUUCCUGGGGAGGACCCUCAUCCUGGUUUGCCAAGGAACGCCUUCUUGCUUUAUCUUCACAGGGUGUUGAGAAAAAGGUUCUCUCUAUAGUGUCUCUUCUUAUAAAGGGCAAUAAUCCCAUUCCUGAGGGGGUCUACCCUCAUGACCUAAUUACCUACCAAAGGCCCCAUCUCCAAAUACCAUCACACUGGCGACUAAGCAUCACAUAAGGAUUUGGGGGAGGACACAAAUAUUCAGUCCACAGCACCAGCCCCUCAUGCAGCUAUGAAUGGCGAUAAAACUAAGUUCUGGUCAGUGAGAUGUAAGGAGUGUUCUGUGGGAACAGGAAAGUUUCCUUAAGGAGGGUGUGUGCCCUUCAUCACCCUCCCUCCUGUUUCCUGGAAUGUAUAUGGACUCUAGGAGCCACCACUGACCGUAAAGACGAGGGCUGCUCCCUAUAACCUCUGGACUGCUUGCCUCGGGAUUUUCCUGUACACAGGAGAAAUGCUGAGACCUUGGUCAAGCCUUUAUUAUAUUGGAUUUUCUGUUAUAUAAACCACACUGACCAUUAACUGAUACACAGUUACACUACUGUACCAAGCAGCUCCACUGCCAGACAUCUACACUAUGAAUAAAAUCAGAUAAAUAUGUAUGGAUAUAAGGAAUGACUGGCUUUUCAGAAAAAAAAAAACCUGGAAAUUAUAAAUGUACUGAAUAAUUAAUAAAACAAAUAUGAUACAUAUAUAGAAUGGGAUACUAAGUAGACUUUCAGAAUGUUAUAGAAGUAUAUUUGACAUAUAAAUAAAGGCAAGUCAUAAAACCAUAAGGUCACUUGUUUAGUAAGGAAAACUAUACAGGAGUUCUACACCAAGAAGCCGCUCUAGUAAUUUUUUUUCUUUUUAGGGCUGCACCUGCAGCAUUUGCAAGUUCCCAGGCUAGGGGUUGAAUUGCAGCUACAGCUGCCGGCCUAACACCACAGCCACAACACUGCCAGAUGCGAGUAUCAUCUGUGACCUACACUGCAGCUCACAGCAAUGCCUGAUCUUUAACCCAUAAGCAAGGCCAGGGAUUGAACCUGCAUCUUCAUGGAUACUAGUCAAGUUCUUAACCUGGUGAGGCACAAGGGGAACUCUGUUUUAGUAAUUUUUAGAUAUAAUCAAUCAUAUUAGGUUCUUCAAAUAGCUGGUUCAGAUUGCAGGGCCAGAGUAUUUACAGCCAAGGCAGUUGAGUCAAGCCAAAGAAUUAUGCACUGGGGCACAGAAAAGUCCUUAAUAUAAGAACCAAUUUACAAAAGCCAAAACCCAAAGUGAAAAGGAUCCUACAUAAAAGCUGAAGACAGAGAGAACAAUUAGCAGAGGUCUUUUUCUGCAAUGGAACUAACAACUGGAAAAAAGUCAUGGCGAAAAGCUUAAAACAACUAUGUCAUCUGCCUAGCAAGCAUCAAGUAAUUUGUUUUUCAAGUCAAAUGGGGGCAAAUAACCAACACUUUGCAGAAAUAUUUAAAAGAGAAUCUUCAAGUCAAGUAACGUUAAGAAUUUAACAAGCUAAUCCUACUAAAGAAAAAUUACCAAAAACAGAACAAAGAUUAUUUAAUAUGUAAUAUCCUUACGGACAACAGUUAGCAGGCUGAUAAACCCGUUCACCCUGAUGUACAACAUACACAAUCACUUGAUAUAUCCAAAUAUUCCUGAAGAGUAAGGUUCAGGUCUUCACAUAAGAAAUCUGUGCCAUGUGUCCGUGAUAAGCCAGACACCAGAGGUAGAAAGAGGAUCAGGUUAACUCUCUCAAACAUACUGGCUUUGACCAGCUCAACUAAACACAAACUUCUGUAUAUAGAAGGAGAUAAAAGAAAAAUCCAGGAAAAUAUUUACAGCCCACAAGAUACAAUUACUGACAUCUUCAAUACAAAUAUAUUUGUAGAAUAAAUUAUAAUAUGACUCAAAAAAAUAACUGAUUUGGUCAAUCCUAAUUUAGAAGUCAGAGUUUUGAGAAGACCAAGAAACUAUUUAUAUAAAAGCAUUUGAAAAUAUAAAGCUCUGAAUUAGCCUUGUUUAAACGGUUAAAUGACAGAAAGGUUUUAACUAUUUUUUAUACCAGUUGAUUUAAAUUGUAAUUUAAAGUUCUAUUUUUCUAUAUUUUAACACCAAAAAGUUAGUUUUUAAGUCUAGAUAAGGAGAUUGUCACAUUGUAACAAUAAGACUAAGUUUUGUUGAAAAACUUUUUUUUUUUUUAAAGCAAGGUCAGGGAUUGAACCCACGACUUCAUAGUUCCUAGUCAGAUUAAUUUCCACUGUGCCACGCCAGGAACUCCGAAAAACUGCUUUUAUUCACUUACUGUGAAUUAAUGUAGCAGUUCUCAAGGUGUGAUCCAUGGGCAUGUUCAAACAUAAUGGACUAGUUAUUGCUGUUUUUAAGAAAUAAAUAUGGUUUGGGACUGGCAUAUGCACACUGAGGUAUAGAGAAUGACUGGUCAAUGGGGACUUGCUGUACAGCACAGGGAACUCUACCCAAUAAUCUACAAGGGAAAAUAAUCUAAGAAAGAAUGGUAUGUAUAUGUAUAACUGAAUCACUUUGUUGUACAACAAAUUAUCACAACAUUGUAAAUCAACUAUACGUCAAUAAAAAUUAAAAAAUAUUAAAAAAUAAAUGUUUUAAAUUGCAGUUUUAAUUAAAUGUCAAUAAUAUAAUCCACAUAAAUAAAAGCUCUUAGCAGUCCUUAAAUUUUAAGAGUAUCAUAAAGGGGUUUUGAGACAAAAAAGCUUGAAAAUCAGUUAUACAAAUGUAUCUGUUCUGUUCACUUACAUGUAACAUGAAAGAUAAGAGUAAGCUGGUUCGCAUUACUGCAAAGAUAUGAAUCCUAUUCACUUCAACUUGUUUUCAGUGAUUAUUUUGUCCUAUUACACCAAUCCAAAAUGCUCAUGUUAGAAUAUGUAAAUCAAAAUCACAAUGAAAAUCUCUAUACACAUUGUAGGAAUCACAAAAAAUGUUAGUUUAUCUCCAGAGUCAUCUAUGCCAACUGGAUGCACCUAGCUCAUACCUUUAACCUGAAGUGACUCUAAGCAGUAAGGACAAUGGCAAGUUCUAUUUCCACACAGGUGUUCUAGAAUUCCAGAAUGCUUUUUUCUGGCCCCACCCAUGGUAUGUACAAGUUGCUGGGCUAGGGAUCAAACCUGUGCCUCAUCUGUCAUCUGAGCUGCCAGAGACACACCGGUUCCUUAACCCACUCUGCUACAGUGGGAACUCUCCAGCUUGCCCCUUUUUUUUCUUUUUAGGGCCAUACCCUCAACAUAUGGAGGUUCCCAGGGUAACAGUCGAGUUAUAGCUGUAGCUGCUGGCCUACUCCACAGCCACAGCAAUGUCAGAUCCUUAACCCACUGAGCGAGGCCAGAGAUCGGACCCAACUCUUCAUGGAUACUAGUCGGGUCCAUUACCACUCAGCCACGACAGGAACUCCUCCCCAGCUUGCUUUUGAUUCUCGGCUGCUAAAUAUUCUUCAAACAAAUGACAUUUCUGCUUAAAUUAGCCUGGUAGACUUCCAAGAGCUAUGAACAGUGUAGUCUAUAUAUUUUCUCUUUGCCUAUAAUUAGAAUGUCUUCCAAAAAAAUGAGUUCUCCUCUCAAUUUAAAUCUAAUUGUAUAACCCUAAGACCUAUCUUCCCUUCAAUUUAUUCAUUCAGACUAGGUGUCUAAGAGUCUGUAUUUCUCUAAAAAUGUGAAAUCUUUCACAUAUGUAAUCUGAAAAUAGCUGUUCUUUUCCAAAUUCGAAUUCUCUAAGGGUUGAUUCUUAGUUGUGUAACAAAAUAUAUUAUUUUAUUAUCAUUUUACUGAAAUAUUCUUUUUUUUGAUAGUGGUGGGGAAAGGAGACAAACUGGAUUUCUUUUUCUCACAUAACAAAAAGCCUAGAUGUAGGCAGUGCUGGGCUGGUGUAGCUUCUCAAGCACCAUGGGACAGGCAGACUCUCUUUCCCCCUGCUUUCUCUCAUCAUUCAUAAACAGAAUUGCCGUCUCAUGGUCACAAAAUGGUUGUGUGUCUCUGGGCACUGCAUCUGGUAUCUUAGUGAGAAGGGAGAAGGGACAAAGAGCCAAAAGGGCACGUGCCAAUCUAGUCCAGAUGUCUCACUGGCCAGCUGAGACACAUGCUCUCUGGUGCCCCAAUCAGUCACUGGGAUGAGGGCAGAGCUGCUCCAGGGUGAAAUUCCAAUCAGAACUGCGGGAAUUUUAGAGAUUAUCAAGCAUCUUCUAUAGGGUCUGUCAAACAGCUCAGAAAUGUCCAAGAUCGCAAUGAAACAACACUUUUACUAAGUUUAUUCCAUAAGAUACUUUCCCAAUUUUGUUCAGAAAAC
rnacentral:lncRNA from 1 species